GAGCGGCAGCACGGGUACUUGUACCUGGUGGCGAGCGGCGGACGGGUGAGUAAUGCCUAGGAAUCUGCCUGGUAGUGGGGGAUAACGCUCGGAAACGGACGCUAAUACCGCAUACGUCCUACGGGAGAAAGCAGGGGACCUUCGGGCCUUGCGCUAUCAGAUGAGCCUAGGUCGGAUUAGCUAGUUGGUGAGGUAAUGGCUCACCAAGGCGACGAUCCGUAACUGGUCUGAGAGGAUGAUCAGUCACACUGGAACUGAGACACGGUCCAGACUCCUACGGGAGGCAGCAGUGGGGAAUAUUGGACAAUGGGCGAAAGCCUGAUCCAGCCAUGCCGCGUGUGUGAAGAAGGUCUUCGGAUUGUAAAGCACUUUAAGUUGGGAGGAAGGGCAGUUACCUAAUACGUAUCUGUUUUGACGUUACCGACAGAAUAAGCACCGGCUAACUCUGUGCCAGCAGCCGCGGUAAUACAGAGGGUGCAAGCGUUAAUCGGAAUUACUGGGCGUAAAGCGCGCGUAUGUGGUUUGUUAAGUUGGAUGUGAAAUCCCCGGGCUCAACCUGGGAACUGCAUUCAAAACUGACAAGCUAGAGUAUGGUAGAGGGUGGUGGAAUUUCCUGUGUAGCGGUGAAAUGCGUAGAUAUAGGAAGGAACACCAGUGGCGAAGGCGACCACCUGGACUGAUACUGACACUGAGGUGCGAAAGCGUGGGGGAGCAAACAGGAUUAGAUACCCUGGUAGUCCACGCCGUAAACGAUGUCAACUAGCCGUUGGGAGCCUUGAGCUUCUUAGUGGCGCAGCUAACGCAUUAAGUUGACCGCCUGGGGGAGUACGGCCGCCAGGGUUAAAACUCAAAGG
rnacentral:rRNA from 1 species